rnacentral:misc_RNA from 1 species
GCAAACUUGGUCAUUUAGAGGAAGUAAAAGUCGUAACAAGGUUUCCGUAGGUGAACCUGCGGAAGGAUCAUUAUUGAAUAAUUUGCCUUGAUGGGUUGUAGCUGGCCUCUUGAGGCAUGUGCACGCCUAUCUUGACUCUAUUCAUCCACCUGUGCACUUAUUGUAGUCUUUACAUUUUCAGAAGAUCGAUUUGAGGAUUGCUUUGUUGCUCUCCUCUGUUGUAUGAUCUUUCUGGGAAUUGGGCUAUGUCUUUUAUCAUAAACCAUAUAGUAUGUUGCCAGAAUGUAAUUGAAAUGGGCUUUCAUGCCUAUAAAACCUUUAUACAACUUUCAGCAACGGAUCUCUUGGCUCUCGCAUCGAUGAAGAACGCAGC